CAAUAGCGUAUAUUAAAGUUGUUGCAGUUAAAAAGCUCGUAGUUGGAUUUCUGAUCGAGACAUCAGGUCGGGUCCGAGAGGAUCAUGUACUUUGAUUUUGUUUUGAUCAUCCUUGGGGAGAGCAUUUCUGGCAUUCAGUUGUCGGGAUUGGGAUCCUCAUCGUUUACUGUGAAAAAAUUAGAGUGUUCAAAGCAGGCCUCGGCCUCUGAAUACAUCAGCAUGGAAUAAUAAGAUAGGACUUUGGUGGUCUAUUUUGUUGGUUUGCACGCCAAAGUAAUGAUUAAUAGGGAUAGUUGGGGGUAUUCGUAUUCAAUUGUCAGAGGUGAAAUUCUUGGAUUUAUGGAAGACGAACUACUGCGAAAGCAUUUACCAAGGAUGUUUUCAUUAA
rnacentral:rRNA from 1 species